GGGGGCGUUCUGGUUUCGACGGAUUGCUAGAAGUGGAGGCUGCAUGCCGCGGAUGAUUCGUUGGCCGCGUUACCAAUUCGGAUCAAACAAACUAAAUGCGAACUCUAACGAGCUUGCCCUCGCCGCUUAAUUGACGGUGACGUUCCUCCAGUGAAGUCUGUGAAUUGGAGGGGCGACUACUUACAGGCUGGCCAAAAGAGCGGGCGACCGGCUCCGAGGCGAGAUCUACAGGCCGCUGGGUGGACGGUAUCCUGGCAGUAGGAGACUGGACAUCGAGAUCAAAUUAUUGCCUGAGCAUGGAGACGCUUUCAUGGAAGGUGGUUCGGACAGGGGUUCAACUCCCCUCGCCUCCACCA
rnacentral:tmRNA from 2 species